rfam:Ictidomys tridecemlineatus contig054360, whole genome shotgun sequence.
UGGGAUGUGGCUCAGAGGUAGAGCACUAGCUUACCAUGCUUGAGGCACUGGGUUCGAUCCUCAGCACCACAU